AAUCAACGCUGGCGGCGUGCCUAACACAUGCAAGUCGAACGCGAAAGCCCGCAAGGGUAAGUAGAGUGGCGCACGGGUGAGUAACACGUGGACAACCUGCCUUCGAGUGGGGAAGUAACCUUCCGAAAGGAGGGCGUAAUACCGCAUAACACCUCGGGACGACAAGUUCUGGGGUUGGAAAAGAAGCAAUUUGUCUCGAAGAGGGGUCCGGCGCCUGAUUAGCUAGUUGGUGAGGUAACGGCUCACC
rnacentral:rRNA from 1 species